AUGUGUCAUGUGCCUGUAGUCCCCGCUACUUGGGAGGCGGAGGUUGGAGGAUCACUUGAGCCUAGGAGGUCAAAACCACAGUGAGCUACGAUUGCACUACUACAGUCCAGCACGGGUGACAGAGUGAGACAUCAUCUCUAAAUAAAUUAAUUAAAUAUAUAUCCUAGAAAUAACUCCCUUAUCAAUUAUGUGUAUUGUAAAUCUUACAUCCCAUUCUGUAGCUUGCCCUUUUACCUUCCUAUAGUGUCAUUUGAAGAAUAGAAGUUUUUAAUUAUAAUAUAACUGUGGUAGGCAGAAUUCUCACGACCCUCACCCUUUUAAGAUGUCCCCCUGAAGAGUGGACAGAACCUGUGGAUAUAGCAGGAUGUCACUUCUGUGAUCAUGCUGCAUAUAUGGCAAAAGAAAUUUUGCAGGUGUAACUAGGAUUACUAAUUGGUUGCAUAUGAGUUAAUCAAGAGGGAGAUUAUCUAGGUGGGCCCAACCUCAUCACAUGAUCCCUUCAAUCUGGGGUCUAGGGACCAGAGACAGAAAACUUCAGAGAGUUUCAAAUUGCAGGAAAAACUUGGCAAGCAAAUCUGGCUGGUGUUUUUAGUUGUUUGUUUGUUUGUUUGUUUGUUUUUGAGACAGGGUCUCACUCUGUGGCCCAGGCUGGAGUGCACUGGUGCAAUCUCCACUCACUGCAACCUCUGCCUCCCAGGUUCAAGUGAUUCUCGUGCCUCAGCCUCCUGCGUAGCUGGGACUAUAGGCAAGUACCACCACUCCCAGCUAAUUUUUGUAUUUUUUUGUAGAGACAGAGUUUCGCCAUGUUGGCUAGGCUGGUCUCAAACUCCUGACCUCAAGUGAUCCACAUGCCUUGGCCUCCCAAAGUGCUGGGAUUACAGGCGGUGAGUGAGUCACUGUGCCUGGCCAAGGCUGACUUUGAAGAUGGAGGAAGCUACGUGCAGAUGCCCUCCAGGAACUAAGAGCAGGUCCUGCCUGAUAGCCGACAAGGACCCAGACAAGGACCCCGAGACCUCCAUCCUACAACUUUAGGGAGAUGAACCUGUCACAAGCAUGUGAGCGUGAAAGAGGACUCAGGGCUCCAGGUCGUGAAGGUGUUUAUUGUCCUGACCCCACAGUUUCUGUCCCGUGACAAGGACCAGCUGACCAAGGAGCUGCAGAAGCAUGUAAAGUCAGUGACAGUCUCAUGCAAGUCCCCAAGGAAGAUGGAGUUUGUCCCGGAGCUGCGGAAAACUGUCACUGGAAAGAUUAAACAAGGUGAACUUGAGAAAAGGAGCUUGGUCAGAUGUAAUCAGCAGUGAACUCGGAACCAACUGGCACCUUCGGCAAAUCCCUGGCCACUUCAGUCUCCCCACUAGGGCGGGGUGAUGAUGAGACAUUGAGAGGGUUGAUUUGGAAAAGCAUCAGGAGGACCACAAUUCCAAUGUUUUUCUUUUCUUUUUCUUUCUUUUCUUUUUUUUUUUUUUGAGACAGAACUUCAUUCUUGUUGCCCAGGCUGGAGUGCAGUGGCGUGAUCCUGGCUCACUGCAACCUCCGCCUCCCGAGUUCAAGCCCUUCUCCCAUCUCAGCCUCCUGAGUAGCUGGGACUGCAGGUGCCCGCCACCACACCCAGCUAAUUUUUGUAUUUUUAGUAGAAAUAGAGUUUCACCGUGUUGGCCAGGCUGGUCUUGAACUACUGUCCUCAGGUGAUCCACCCACCUCAGCAUUUCAAAAUGCUGGGAUUUCAGGCGUGAGCCACCGCACCCGGACUGUUUUUGUUAUUUUAAGUUACAUUCAGUUACUCUGCUUCCUCCAACUCCUCUCUGUGUCUUUAGAAUUUCCCAGGUGAGUACACAGAUUGGAGUUCCAGGUAAUAAAAUAUUAAUUUCGAC
rnacentral:lncRNA from 1 species